rnacentral:tRNA from 1 species
GGCUGGUUAGCUCAGCUGGUUAGAGCGUGGUGCUGAUAACACCAAGGUCACGGGUUCAAUCCUCGUUCGGUCC